rnacentral:tRNA from 1 species
GUGGUUGUGGCUCAGUGGCAAAGCACUUGCCUAGCAUGUGUGAGGCACUGGGUUCAAUCCUCAGCACCACA